rnacentral:rRNA from 1 species
AGCGGCAAAAGCUCAAAUUUGAAAUCUGGCGUCCUUUGGGCGUCCGAGUUGUAAUUUGGAGGAGCGUCUUCGGGAGCGACACCGUCCUAAGUUCCGUGGAACCGGACGUCACAGAGGGUGAGAAUCCCGUGCCUGGGCGGUCGUCUGUUCCCAUGUGAAGUGCUUCCGACGAGUCGAGUUGUUUGGGAAUGCAGCUCAAAAUGGGUGGUAAAUUUCAUCUAAAGCUAAAUAUUGGCGAGAGACCGAUAGCGCACAAGUAGAGUGAUCGAAAGAUGAAAAGCACUUUGAAAAGAGAGUUAAAAAGUACGUGAAAUUGUUGAAAGGGAAGCGCUUGAGAUCAAACUCAGUCUUUGGCGAAGCUUCGAGCUCGCUCGGAGCCUCUUGCCUUUGACUGGGCCAGCAUCGGUUUCGACGGCGGGAGAAACGGUGGGGGAAUGUGGCUCCCCUUUAAACGGGAGUGUUAUAGCCCUCAUCAAAUACCGCCAGUUGGGACCGAGGACCGCGCUUCGGCUAGGAUGUUGGCGUAAUGGUCUUAAGCGACCCGUCUUGAAACACGGACCAAGGAGUCUAACAUCUAUGCGAGUGUUCGGGUGAAAAACCCUUGCGCGUAAUGAAAGUGAAUGGAGGUGGGAACCGUAAGGUGCACCAUCGACCGAUCCCGAUGUUUUCGGAAGGAUUUGAGUAUGAGCAUAGCUGUUGGGACCCGAAAGAUGGUGAACUAUGCCUGAAUAGGGUGAAGCCAGAGGAAACUCUGGUGGAGGCUCGCAGCGGUUCUGACGUGCAAAUCGAUCGUCAAAUUUGGGUAUAGGGGCGAAAGACUAAUCGAACCAUCUAGUAGCUGGUUCCUGCC